AUACAUCCCCAAAUCUUUACCUGCAUUAGCUGUCCAGGUUUGCACUCCUCCAGCUCUGUGCUAUACCCCAGAGCUCAGUGGAAAACAUCUUUCUGUCCACACGUGGAGAGCUGAGCCAUGGUGAAACCAGUAAAACCACUUCAUUACUUCCAUCUCCACUGGCAGAGGAAGAGGAAACUUGGAAAUUCAAUUGCAAAAUGCCCACAGAAAAACAGACCCAAAGGAUGCAAGCAGGAGAAUUUCAAAAGCCAUGAGUUUCAGCCCAGCUUUGGUCUCACUGCAGCCAGCAGGAAUUUUACUCCUGAUUACCAACGAGAACAGAAUAAAGUCAGGAGUGAGCAAACCCCACCUCUACAGAGCAGCAUUGUUCCUUCCCUCCAGAGCUGAACAGAGGCAUGUUUCUGAUGAUCAGCAAAAAGCCUGCAUUUAAUGUCAGCCGAAGGGGGGAGAGUGUUAGAAACCUCACAGACACCCUGGGAUGUCACAGUGAAACAGGAGGCUGCGCUGAGCUGGGGAUGAAAAGAUAAAUGAGGCAAAGGAAGCGUUCACAUGGACUCUGACAAAGACUGGAGGAGGGAAAGAGGGAGCAGGAAAGCUCAGGGAACAAAGGGAUGGACUCUGCUCUUACCCAGGCUGAAACAAAGGCUGCUGCAGUUUGUGAUAACUGAGUGUGACACUCUGGGGGAGGAUGGGAACACUUGCCUUUUUUUUGUUUAUUACAGGUGAAUGCACUUACACAGCAGGUGUGGGAAUCUGGGCAGCACAGGCCUGGGUGCAGCAAAUAAGGAAACAGAAAAUAAAACCCAGAAGUGCCUGCUACCA
rnacentral:lncRNA from 1 species